rnacentral:misc_RNA from 1 species
UGACGUCGUCAUACAACGUCACAAUACAAUUUUAACAAUUGAGUUCUAUUGUUGCGUUAACAAUGCUCUUCGAAAAAGUGAAUAUUGGAUGCGCUUUUCUUAAAGAAAUGUUUUCCAAGGUUAUAAAGUAUAUUUUGCACCAAGUUCGACCUGUUCGACUUAAGAAAUUAUAUGAGAGAUUGGCAUUAACACUGUAUAAUGUGUUUCUGCCGUUAUUAAUACAAAUAAAAGACUACGAACAAGACUACAGAAACUACAUGGAGUAUGUAAAUACAAUACAUAAUAAUUUAGAAAGAGAGAGAAAUAUAAAUGUUAAUUUAAAAGUUAAAAUACAAACGGAACAAACUUCUUGCCAAAUAAUUCAUCGAGAAAUACCAGAGAUACAUCCGACCGAUUGUCACAGUCUUUAAUGAUGAAUUAUUAUCGAAAUGUUCCAAAAAUAAAACUGAAAAUUCUCAAGACAAACCGACAAUUGCGAAACAAUCACCGACAGAUUCUCGGAGAACAAUAUUACAACGUUCAACAGAAUCUUGGGAAUGUGAUAUCUGUUUCGCUCCAAAUUAUACCAAUCCUUUUCGGUGUUAUUCAUGCGACAGUUUGAGACUCGAGACUUUAAGAUGAACUGUCGAAUUUACGGAUUAUAAAUUUUAUUGCUUUGCAUAAAUGCACUUCAAAUCUGAAAUAUUCUCAUUGCUUUCAUAUUAAA